AUUGAACGCUGGCGGCAUGCCUUACACAUGCAAGUCGAACGGCAGCACGGGAGCAAUCCUGGUGGCGAGCGGCGAACGGGUGAGUAAAGUAUCGGAACGUGCCCAGUCGUAGGGGAUAACGUAGCGAAAGUUACGCUAAUACCGCAUACGAUCUAUGGAUGAAAGCGGGGGAUCGCAAGACCUCGCGCGAUUGGAGCGGCCGAUAUCAGAUUAGGUAGUUGGUGGGGUAAAGGCUCACCAAGCCGACGAUCUGUAGCUGGUCUGAGAGGACGACCAGCCACACUGGGACUGAGACACGGCCCAGACUCCUACGGGAGGCAGCAGUGGGGAAUUUUGGACAAUGGGCGAAAGCCUGAUCCAGCCAUGCCGCGUGCAGGAUGAAGGCCUUCGGGUUGUAAACUGCUUUUGUACGGAACGAAAAGGUUUGGCCUAAUAAGCUGAGCUCAUGACGGUACCGUAAGAAUAAGCACCGGCUAACUACGUGCCAGCCGCCGCAGUAA
rnacentral:rRNA from 1 species